UGACACAAAGAGGACUGAGGAGACUACAUCUGUUAGAACUCGCAAAGAUCAGCCACCAGCUACAAAACAGUCUGGAGAAACAUGGCCUCUACGCCUCAACAAAACACCGCAUCUAAAAAAUGAAAAUAUAUCGAUGAAAGAAGGUUAUUCAAUCAAAAAUGGACAGAGGACUACAUUUUGGUUGAGAUAAACAAUAACUAGGACACAGCUAUCACCAGUUGUCCAGUAUGGAGAAGGUGUACCUAGCUGUCCAGGGACCACAACAUGAGAACCACAAAUUUGAAGAUGGGGUUCCAGAAGAAGUGCGUAUUGGCAAGGAGGAGAUAAAUCCCACUCUGCACUGGGGCCUCCUUUUGAUGCAUGGCAUAGAAGUUGAUGAAGAGUACUGUAAAUGGAGGUCUGGAUAUCUUGAACAGGAGAGUGUCUGCAUUAAUGAGGAUGAGGAGGAUUGUGAUAGUGGACCGAUCAACUUUACAGUAGACUCUGAGCUAAUGUGUUACAGGAGCGACAUGAAGAAAAACAAAACUGGCAACUGUAUAAAGGAAGAAAACCUCAAAUGUGAGUCUGACUUUCAGCAUUUCCAUCCAAGUGAAGAGCCUCCUGCAUUAGCAUUCACGCCAACUAGACACGGCACCAUGCAGCAUCAUUCUGGUAGUGUGAUAUUAGAAUCUUUGGAAUCGGACAUGAAGAGGAUGGACAGAGAAGCAGGUUCAAGUCCUUCUAAAGAAGCUUUACAAAACAAUGUCAGCUUCUUCUUAUACACAUCCACAUCACCUCAGAUGUCUGUUCAGUACACGUCGCAGCAAUCAAAAAAUGGAGAAAACAUGAAGAAACUGAUAUCAGAAUCGAAGGGUGUGAUACCAACCUCUUUGCAGGAUGAUUCUCUGCCAGGGAAAAAACUAACCACAGUGAGCGCAAUUUCCAUUCAACUUCAGAUGCACAAUUCAGACUCGGCCACAGCCCACCAGGAGCAGAGGAAAAGGAUCAAAAGAAAAUCUGAAUCCAGAGAAGGGAAUCCGAGUCAGACACAACCAAAGCUGUACCACUGUUCUGAAUGUAACAAACCAUUCAACACCACUGGCGCUCUUCAAAUACACACAAGAAUUCACACUGGAGAGAGGCCAUAUUGUUGUCCUGAAUGUGGCAAACGAUUCACCAGUGUCAAGAACCUUCAAAUCCACAGAAUAAGUCACAUUGGAAUGAAGCCACAUCGUUGUUCUGAAUGUGGCAAACAAUUCACCACCAGUGCGUAUCUUCAAAAGCACACGAGAAUUCACACGGGAGUAAGGCUAUAUCAUUGUUGUGAAUGUGGAAAACAAUUCAUCACCAAGAGCCAACUUGAAACACACACAAGAAUUCACACUGGAGAAAAGCCAUACUGUUGUUCUGAAUGUGGAAAAAAAUUUUCACAAGUAAGUUCUCUUCACACCCAUGCAAGAAUUCACACUGGUGAUAGGCCUUACAGUUGUUCUGAAUGUGGCAAACAAUUCACCACCAACCUUGGUUUUCAGCAUCACAGAAAGGUUCACACUAGAAAGAAGCCAUAUGAAUGUUCAAGCAAUUCACAGAAGGUAGCUACGUCUUUCACUAACACAGAAGAAUACACAUGGAAAUGAAGUCAUAUUGUUGUGCAGAAGGUAGCAAACAAUUUAUGGCCAGCAGCGGCUUUCAUUUCCACGGAAAACUCAACACAGGAGAGAAGCAUUAAGGCAAAUGGUUGAUAAAGUGUACAUCAAAUAAACUUCUAUCUAAUCUAAUCUACAAAAAUAAGAAGACCCAGUGGGGUUCUUUUAAGUCAUGCUAUAAAAUAAAGUUGACCAACUAGCAAUGCUUACAUUUUGGGAAUCCCAGACUGGCCAGAAAACUCUUGAUUCUUAUAUAUUUCAUGACUAUACAAGCCUACUUCCAUGACUUUAUGAAUUUCAAGUCUACUUAAUGUUAUCCUAAGAUCAGUACAAGGAGUUUUCAACCAUGAAAUACAGAAACCAAAAACAGUCUCAAUUAUAACACUUGGUCAGCUAAUUGAAAGUAGUGAAGGCAUGAAAGAAACUCCAUAACUUAGUCUGAAGAUAGGAAUCGUGCAACUCGCCACGCAGUAAAGAAAGAAUCAAAGAACUGCUUCAGCACAAAAAAAAAAAGACAACUGGCAAGGCCACAAGUACAGCGGGCAAUGUGCAGCCCUCUAAGGCUCCAUUCUGACAUAAACCAGGAACAUAAAGGAAUCAAACAUCACUGCUGUUCUGAAUGUGGUAAACAAUUCUCCGACAGAGCCGCAAAAAGAAUUCACAAAGAGGAGAAUCCAUUUUGCUGUUCUGCAUGUGGUAAACAAUUCUAUCACAAAAGUAGGCACAAACACAUUCAUACACGGGAGCUGCCAUAUUGCUGUAAUGUAUGUGGUGAACGCUUUCUAAAAAUAAAUCAUCUUCAGAACAACCAAAGAAUUCACACAGGAGAUAAGCCGUAUUGUUGUUCUGAAUGUGGUAAACAAUUCUAUCACAAAAGUAGUUUUCAGAGACAAAAACGCAUUCAUACAAAGGAUCAGUCAUAUUGCUGUAAUGUUUGUGGCAGACAAUUUUUAAAAAUAAGUGGCCUGAAGAACCACCAAAAAAUUCACGCAGGAGAGAAACUGUAUUGCUGAUAUGAAUUUUGUGGUAUAUGGCCGGCCAUUCAUCCCAGCCAA